GCUGGUAAAAAGGAACCAGAUC
rnacentral:miRNA from 1 species